ensembl:lncRNA
GCGACAGUGAAUUUGGUCUUGGACAAUAAAGCACCUACAGGACAAAUCAGGAGAGAUCAGUAAAUUUGGAGGGGAUAGCGAAGACCACAUUAAACUCCAUUAGAGGUUAGGGCAGGCUGAAGUGUGGAAUGAAGGAGAAUUGAUGAGAAAUUAAGCAAAUGAGAUGGAGAAAUGAUCUCAACCCAUUUUUUUGGCCUCCUGACUGGAAACCUCAGAACUCGGCCCUGUAAGCUGUUAAUCAAAUAAGCACUGCAGGCUUUUGUAAAGAAUCAUGCUUUACAAAUGCUUGAAGGCAGUAUUGGGAUUAAAAUGGAGUGUCCAACAUUGCUGUGGAAGCAGAUAGUCCUUGC